GCGAAUAUGGCUUAAUCGGUAGAGUUUUAGUUUGUGAUACUAACGUGUGCGGGUUCGAGUCCCGUUAUUCGCC
rnacentral:tRNA from 1 species